AGAGUUUGAUCCUGGCUCAGAACGAACGCUGGCGGCGUGGAUUAGGCAUGCAAGUCGCGCGAUCCCCGCAAGGGGAUAGCGGCAAAAGGGUGCGUAACACGUGGGUAAUUUACCCUUUCGAUGGGCAUAACUUCACGAAAGUGAAGCUAAUACCCAAUUUGACCACCGGUACACAUGUACCGGCGGUAAAAGGUGGCGAUGCUUCGGCAGCUACCGCGAAUGGAAGAGCCCGCGGCCUAUCAGCUAGUUGGUGAGGUAACGGCCCACCAAGGCGAAGACGGGUAGCUGGUCUGAGAGGAUGGUCAGCCACACUGGGACUGAGACACUGCCCAGACUCCUACGGGAGGCUGCAGUCGAGGAUCUUUUGCAAUGGACGAAAGUCUGACAAUGCGACGCCGCGUGAGCGAUGAAGGCCUUCGGGUCGUAAAGCUCUGUUUGCCUGGAAGAAAUACUUUGGUCGAAUAGCCCAAAGGGAUGACGGUACGGGCAGAGGAAGCCACGGCUAACUCCGUGCCAGCAGCCGCGGUAAUACGGAGGUGGCAAGCGUUGUUCGGAAUUACUGGGUGUAAAGGGUAUGUAGGCGGUAGAGGAAGUUGAAUGUGAAAUCCUUUGGCUCAACCAAAGAACUGCAUUCAAAACUGCUCUACUUGAGUUCGGGAGAGGAGAGCGGAAUUCCCGGUGUAAGAGUGAAAUCUGUAGAGAUCGGGAGGAACACCAGUGGCGAAAGCGGCUCUCUGGACCGAUACUGACGCUGAAAUACGAAAGCUAGGGGAGCAAACAGGAUUAGAUACCCUGGUAG
rnacentral:rRNA from 1 species